rnacentral:rRNA from 1 species
CGAAGGGUGCAAGCGUUAAUCGGAAUUACUGGGCGUAAAGCGUGCGUAGGUGGUCUUUUAAGUCCGUUGUGAAAGCCCUGGGCUCAACCUGGGAAUGGCAGUGGAUACUGGGAGGCUGGAGUACGGUAGAGGAGGGUGGAAUUCCCGGUGUAGCGGUGAAAUGCGUAGAGAUCGGGAGGAACAUCAGUGGCGAAGGCGGCCCUCUGGACCAGUACUGACGCUGAGGCACGAAAGCGUGGGGAGCAAACAGGAUUAGAUACCCUGGUAGUCCACGCCCUAAACGAUGCGAACUGGACGUUGGUCACAACUCAGUGAUCAGUGUCGAAGCUAACGCGUUAAGUUCGCCGCCUGGGGAGUACGCUCGCAAGAGUG